GGGAAACUCACCAGGUCCAGACAUGGGAAGGAUUGACAGACUGAUAGCUCUUUCUUGAUUCUAUGGGUGGUGGUGCAUGGCCGUUCUUAGUUCGUGGACUGAUUUGUCUGGUUGAUUCCGAUAACGAGCGAGAUCUUAACCUGCUAACUAGGUCUUCAGAAUGCGUUCUGAUGUGCCUUCUUAGAGGGACUUUGCAUAUUUAGUGUAAGGAGGUUUGAGGCAAUAA
rnacentral:rRNA from 1 species